rnacentral:lncRNA from 1 species
UAAAUCACGCGUAUCGCAUCAAAUACUGGCAAUUUGCUUAAGGGUUUAAACUUAGACGUGUCCCUUCAAUUUGCUUAAGGGUAGGAAAGUUUGAAUCUUUUUACUUUGGAUGAGUCUGGUUGUCAUAUUCUUAACGGUUGCAAUGAGAUGAAAAGGAAACCAAACUACCACGGGAGUAUGAAGAUGAUGAAGAAUCUGUCAAUAGCGUGUUAGCUAAAGAGAGUCCUGGUUUGUUUUUUUCCUUGGAAGUGGUACUAGUCACGGCCUAACCUAGUCUCAAUUAAGGAGUCAAUAGCAACUUGUAGUUUUCAGCUUCCACAUCUUAGCCACUUUAUUUUCCUUUCCCAAUCGAACGUGACUCACAAGUCAUUGAACGAUCCAUUAUUUCCUGCAUCAUGCCACCAUAAGCUUGAUAUGAUCACACCAUUCUAGCACGUCGGUGUUGGCUCUACUCGACUCUCAGACAAUAAACCCUAAACCGUAGAGAGGGGUUUAGGAGGCAAGUCAUCUCACAAGGAGCCCCAUUUUAGGGUCUUCUAGUGCCGGGUUCGUUUCAUUAUUGUCAAUAAUCGAAUUCCUCAAGGUUCCCUUAUUGGUUAUACCAAACUUAAGAAGUCAAAUAUAUAUGUAUAUUGGGGAAGAUUGGAUGAGCAGUGACCAUAAUACUUUGUCAUCGGGUUCAACCGUUCAAGAUGAUUUCGUUUUGUGCUUUCCAAUUAAGCAAAAAUGGUAUGAUUUCCAAGUUAAUCUUCAUCUAAUUCAAUAUGCUAGAAAUAUUUCUUUAAAUUUAUACAAUAUCAGUAUGUAAUAUUUAUUUUCAUCACUGAAUUAAUAUCACUGAUUCACCGGCUUGAUUUACCUUUAAAGUCCAAGAGAAAAUAAAAAUGAUAAAAUCGAUAGUAUAUCAUGUUGUUUUAGAAAUAAAUAUUUUAUUUACCUAAAUGACAUGAUAUAUAAGAUUGAUGCCACAAAUUUUACGCGUUGAGAUCCCAUAUGAGUGCCGGCCCUUGAAGAUUUGAACACCAGUACAAUGUAUGGUACAAUAUUUAGAGAGUUGUACACUUGUACUUGUAUACUCUACACCUACCUUCUUUGGAACAUUUCUUCUCUCUGACUUCGAUCAUGCUAGUUCAUAAACCCCAAGUCAGCUUGUAGAAGCGGGCAGCUGCCUGCCCUACGUGCUGCCCUGACUCCAUCGAUCCACCUUGCUAUAAAUACCAUCACAGUGGUCACCUUCACAAUAUCAUUUGUGAAUCGCAGUCUGCCUCUGCACUUCACAGAACUAAAAAGCUUUUCAUUAUCAACAGACAAUGGCAGGCACAAAAGCUCCGUUGAUGGCUCUCGUGGCCGUGCUCAUCAUGGUCAUCUCUCUCGCUGGCGUAGCUCAGGCCCAUGAAGGUCAUGCUCAUGCUCCUGAACCGGCUACCUCCCCGGCAGCCUCCAUCUCUCCCUCGUUCGUUUCUGCUUUCGUCGCCGCUGCAGUCGCCCUCGUUUCGGGAUCUGCUCUCAUGGUUUGAGUUGGCUGCUCCGGCCUGGAGUUGUGUAGAUCGAAGGUUUGCUUUUCUGUUUCGUUUCAUAAUAAUUGUAAUGGAUGAUCUAUAUCGGGAUUAAUUUAUGUGAUGUAUACGUUUCUGCAUGGCUUUACGUCAAUUUGAUUAUUACUAUGAGUAAAAUCAGUAAAUAAUUGAUUCAUUUGAACUGAAUAUGUUCUUUCUUACCGUCAAUCAUCACUGUUCCGAGAACUGUUGUUUGCCUUUGGCUUGUGGUGUCGAAUCUUACUACGGACAAUCCCAAAUCGUUCGUUUAAUUAGGUUCUCACUUCUUUUGUUGUGCUUUGAACAACCAUACAUCUAAGUAGGUACAAUGAUUAGUUUCAAAUUUAAACUGCUAAGCCUUCGAUUCGUUGUUGGUCUAUUUUCAGGAGCAAUCGCAGGUUUAAAUUUAGUGGAACCAAAAGCUAGGAUUAUCAAUUCAUCAAUAAUAAGAAACUGAGAUGUCAAUGGGUGUGACAUAAUAAGAUGCGAUUUCCAUCGAUCCACUCGACAUGACUCCCGAGUAAUAAAACGUUUUCCAUCGUCAUGCCAACCACUUUAAAUCAAACCCAUUUCAGAAAUCACGUCAACUCCCAGAGAUGACCUAUUCAAAGUCUUGAUGAAUACUAUUAGUAAUAUGAAGCUGCAUCUAUAUGGGGAGGAAUUGGAGUUAAUUCUUACUCUUGUCAAUUGGUUCGUAAUGAUGCUUGAUCUUCUCGUGUUCUUCCGAUCAAGCAAAAACAGUAAGAGAGACACAUGUA